GUCGAGAAUCUCCCGCAAUGCGCGAAAGCGUGACGGAGCGACACCGCGUGAUGGAUGAAGUCCUUCGGGGCGUAAACAUCUUUUAUAAAGGAGGAAAUUUUUGACGUUACUUUAUGAAUAAGGGGCUCCCAAUCUCGUGCCAGCAGGAGCGGUAAUACGAGAGCCUCAAGCGUUAUCCGGAAUCAUUGGGCGUAAAGGGUGCGUAGGUGGUUUGAUUAGUCUCCCGUUAAAACUUCGAGCUUAACUCGAAAAGAGCGGGGGAAACGGUCAAACUAGAGUAUGUGAGAGGUGUGUGGAACUCAUGGUGUAGGGGUGAAAUCCGUUGAUAUCAUGGGGAACACCAAAAGCGAAGGCAGCACACUGGCACAUCACUGACACUGAGGCACGAAACCUAAGGUAGCGAAUGGGAUUAGAUACCCCAGUAGUCC
rnacentral:rRNA from 1 species